rnacentral:rRNA from 1 species
UAGGGAAUCUUUGGCAAUGGACGGAAGUCUGACCGAGCAACGCCGCGCGAGUGAAGAAGGUUUUCGUAUCGUAAAGCUCUGUUGUUAGAGAAGAACGUUGGUAGGAGUGGAAAAUCUACCAAGUGACGGUAACUAACCAGAAAGGGACGGCUAACUACGUGCCAGCAGCCGCGGUAAUACGUAGGUCCCGAGCGUUGUCCGGAUUUAUUGGGCGUAAAGCGUGCGCAGGCGGUUAUUUAAGUCUGAAGUUAAAGGCAGUGGCUUAACCAUUGGAAGAUUUAGAAACUGGAGUACUUGAGUGCAGAAGGGAAGAGUGGAAUUCCAUGUGUAGCGGUGAAAUGCGUAGAUAUAUGGAGGAACACCGGUGGCGAAAGCGGCUCUCUGGUCUGUAACUGACGCUGAGGCUCGAAAGCGUGGGGAGCAAACAGG